GGCCUCGUAGCUCAGUUGGCUAGAACGUUGGCGGAACUACAGCCUUCCCCUUGCUGGCGUGGAUUCGAAUCCCACCGAGGCCA
rnacentral:tRNA from 1 species